UACGAAGGGUGCAAGCGUUACUCGGAAUUACUGGGCGUAAAGCGCACGUAGGCGGCUUUGUAAGUUAGAGGUGAAAGCCCAGGGCUUAACCCUGGGAAUUGCCUUUAAGACUGCAUCGCUAGAAUCGUGGAGAGGUGAGUGGAAUUCCGAGUGUAGAGGUGAAAUUCGUAGAUAUUCGCAAGAACACCAGUGGCGAAGGCGCUCACUGGCCCGAUACUGACGCUGAGGCACGAAAGCGUGGGGAGCAAACAGGG
rnacentral:rRNA from 1 species